UACCAGCACCCCGAGUGGUCGGGACGAUUAUUGGGCCUAAAGCAUCCGUAGCCGGUUCUACAAGUCUUCCGUUAAAUCCACCUGCUUAACAGAUGGGCUGCGGAGGAUACUAUGGAGCUAGGAGGCGGGAGAGGCAAGCGGUACUUAGUGGGUAGGGGUAAAAUCCGUUGAUCCAUUGAAGACCGCCAGUGGCGAAGGCGGCUUGCCAGAACGCACUCGACGGUGAGGGAUGAAAGCUGGGGGAGCAAACCGG
rnacentral:rRNA from 1 species